rnacentral:misc_RNA from 1 species
CGUGGGAGCGAGCCUGCUCGCGAUAGCGGUGUGUCAGCUGCCAUUGAGCUUGCUGAUCCGGCGCCAUCGCGAGCAGGCUCGCUCCCACA